rnacentral:tRNA from 1 species
AUUAAAGUGGCAGAAAACAAUGCAAGGAAUUUAAGCUUCCUCAAUGAUAAUUUCCUUUAAUA